UCAUUUGUUCAUAGCAUAGCAUGGCAUCUCCCCUGAAACUGCUACUGUAAUUUGCAUUCCCCUAGCAUUUGGAGCUGCAGAUCAAGAAAGCGCAAGUGGAUAUCGAAAUUCUCGAUGCUAACCUCAGGGACUACGAACUCCACCCAGAACAACAAUCUGAUCAUUCACUGCCUCAACUGUUAUGGUGUGAGAAAAACCUCAAUC
rnacentral:lncRNA from 1 species